ensembl:lncRNA
GAAUCCAACCUAACGCAGAAGCUUUGGAGAAGACUUCUUUACAGAGAUUGCGCUGGUGUUGAAGGCCUGAGCUCUGAUCAGCUCAUCCCAUCGUCUGCUGAUCGAUGAGUCCAGGACUGAUGGAUCUACAGCGAGCUUUUGCGGAGUGACCCCU